ACACCGGCAGCUCAAGUGGUAGCCGCUUUUAUUGGGCCUAAAGAGUCCGUAGCCGGUCUGAUAAGUCUCUGGUGAAAUCCCGCAGCUUAACUGUGGGAAUUGCUGGAGAUACUAUCAUGACUCGAGGUCGGGAGAGGCUGGAGGUACUCCCAGGGUAGGGGUGAAAUCCUGGAAUCCUGGGAGGACCACCUGUGGCGAAGGCGUCCAGCUGGAACGAACCUGACGGUGGGGGACGAAAGCCAGGGGCGCGAACCGGAUUAGAUACCCGGGUAGUCCUGGCCGUAAACGAUGUGGACUUGGUGUUGGGAUGGCUUCGAGCUGCCCCAGUGCCGAAGGGAAGCUGUUAAGUCCACCGCCUGGGAAAUACGGCCGCAAGGCUGAAACUUAAAGGAAUUGGCGGGG
rnacentral:rRNA from 1 species